AUUGAACGCUGGCGGCAUGCCUUACACAUGCAAGUCGAACGGCAGCAUGGUGAGCUUGCUCUCUGAUGGCGAGUGGCUAACGGGUGAGUGAAGCAUCGGUCCGUACCUUGUAUUUCGUGGUGACGUAGCGAAAGUUACGCUACUACCGCCUACGCACUGCGGUGGGGAGAAGGGGAUCGUAAUACCUUGCUCUAUCCGUGCGGCCGCUGUCGGAUUAGCUAGUUGGUGGGGUAAAGGCCUACCAAGGCGACGAUCUGUAGCUGGUCUGAGAGGAUGAUCAGCCACACUGGAACUGAGACACGGCCCAGACUCCUACGGGAGGCAGCAGUGGGGAAUAUUGGACAAUGGGGGCAAGCCUGAUCCAGCCAUGCCGCGUGAGUGAAGAAGGCCUUCGGGUUGUAAAGCUCUUUUGGUGGGGAAGAAAAGGAACAGGCUAAUACCCUGUGUUGAUGACGGUACCGGAAGAAGAAGCACCGGCUAACUACGUG
rnacentral:rRNA from 1 species